GGGCAAUGCGAGCUCCGCUCUGAGCUGCAGGCGCCUCCCGCCCUCCCAAGGCAGCCUUGGCCCCGCUCUGAAAAGAUUAAGGAGCAGUUGCAUUCCUCGCGCACCCUAAGGUCCUGGCGCCGCGGUUCCUCCUCUGCAGAUGUGGGAGACAUUUUGCAGAAGAGGAGACUGCAGUUAGAAGAGGUCCAGUGGCUGGCCUGUCGUGAUCGAGCUGGAGAGUCAGCACCCAUACUCAGGUGCUUCAGGAGCUGGACGGAGCUGGUGACAGGAGCAUCGCAUCCAAGCUCACAGGCCAGCUGGCCUUGACCAUGCACAGCAGCAGCCCAAGAGAGACCUCCUCUCAACAAGGUGGAAGGCACCGGGGAGCAGGUUGAAGACAAAAGGGCCGUGUAGCAGCUUAUGACAAGUACCUGGGGAUUCUGAGUGGCCCCCACAAGCAUAGCCAAAUGAGUGAGCAGCCGAGUAAGAAUGAAGACCACUGGGGACAGCCC